UGGUCAAGCUAGUAAGGGCAUAGGGUGGAUGCCUUGGCACCAGGAGCCGAUGAAGGACGGGAUAAGCGCCGAUACGCCUCGGGUAGCCGCAAGUAGGCAUUGAUCCGGGGAUUUCCGAAUGGGGGAACCCACCUAGGGCAAACCCUAGGUAUCACCUACUGAAUACAUAGGUAGGUGAGGGCAUACCGGGGGAACUGAAACAUCUAAGUACCCCGAGGAAAAGAAAGAAAACUCGAUUCCCUAAGUAGCGGCGAGCGAAAGGGGAACAGCCCAAACCCGGCACUCAACUGAACUUCGUUCAGUUGAGUGUCGGGGGUUGCGGACACAGCCGUUAACUAAACGACUUUUGUAGCCGAAUAGGUCUGGAAAGACCAACCAUAGAAGGUGAUAGUCCUGUAGGCGAAACGAAAGGAGUUUAGGGCUGUGAUCCAGAGUACCACGGGACACGUGAAACCCUGUGGGAAGCAGGGAGGACCACCUCCCAAGGCUAAAUACUACCUGGUGACCGAUAGCGCAUAGUACCGUGAGGGAAAGGUGAAAAGAACCCCGGGAGGGGAGUGAAAUAGAACCUGAAACCCUAUGUCUACAAGCAGUGGAAGCACUUUUUACGUGCAACCGCGUACUUUUUGUAGAACGGGCCAGCGAGUUACGAUAUGCAGCGAGGUUAAGGACUUAAGGUCUGGAGCCGUAGGGAAACCGAGUCUUAAAUGGGCGAAUAAGUUGCAUGUCGUAGACCCGAAACCGGGUGACCUACCCAUGGGCAGGGUGAAGCGAAAGUAAAAUUUCGUGGAGGCCCGAACCCGUGUCUGUUGAAAAAGGCUGGGAUGACCUGUGGGUAGCGGUGAAAUUCCAAUCGAACUCGGAUAUAGCUGGUUCUCCCCGAAAUAGCUUUAGGGCUAGCCUCAAGGUAGUGACAUGGAGGUAGAGCACUGAAUGGUCUAGGGGCGCUCACACGCUACCGAAACCUAUCAAACUCCGAAUGCCAUAGUCAUGUUCCUUGGGAGUCAGACUAUGUGAGAUAAGUUUCAUAGUCGAGAGGGAAAGAGCCCAGACCGCCAGCUAAGGUCCCUAAGUACAGGUUAAGUGGUAAAGGAUGUAAGACUACACAGACAACCAGGAUGUUGGCUUAGAAGCAGCCAUUCAUUUAAAGAGUGCGUAAUAGCUCACUGGUCGAGUGGUCUUGCGCCGAAAAUGUCCGGGGCUCAAACCUGUCACCGAAGCUGCGGAUUGUCGUGAGUUUAUUGAUGCUUUUAAAUUUAAAGCACUAGAGUGAGGACAUUUUUACCAAAAGCUACCGCUUAAAAAAUAAAUCGAAGCUUUUGGUCAAAUGCUCUCUAGGGAUCAAACCUAAUAGGUUAAAGGUGGCAAUAAACUCAUGACAAUGGUAGGGGAGCAUUCUUAAGUGGCAGAAGCUACACCGUAAGGAGUGGUGGACACUUAAGAAGAGAGAAUGCUGGCAUGAGUAGCGAAAGGUGGGUGAGAAUCCCACCCGUCGAAAGCCUAAGGUUUCCUGAGGAAGGCUCGUCCGCUCAGGGUUAGUCGGGACCUAAGCCGAGGCCGAAAGGCGUAGGCGAUGGACAACAGGUUGAGAUUCCUGUACCACCUAUCUGCGCUAAAGAGAUGGGGUGACGCAGGAGGAUAGGUUGAGCGCACGGUUGGUUGAGUGCGUCCAAGCCGGUAGGAAGUUUCUACAGGCAAAUCCGUAGGAACAAUUCCGAGAGGUGAUGGGGAGCGAAAUAUAAGUAGCGAAGCAACUGAUUCCACACUGCCGAGAAAAGCCUCUAUCGAGUAGAUAGGUGCCCGUACCGCAAACCGACACAGGUAGGCGAGGAGAGAAUCCUAAGACGAGCGGGAGAACCCUUGUUAAGGAACUCGGCAAAAUGACCCCGUAACUUCGGGAGAAGGGGUGCCGGUUGAGGUGUAAGUCCUAGCGACUGAAGCCUUGGUCGGCCGCAGAGGAUAGGCCCAAGCGACUGUUUACCAAAAACACAGGUCUCUGCUAAGUCGAAAGACGAAGUAUAGGGGCUGACGCCUGCCCGGUGCUGGAAGGUUAAGGGGAAGUGUUAGCGUUAAGCGAAGCACUGAACUUAAGCCCCAGUAAACGGCGGCCGUAACUAUAACGGUCCUAAGGUAGCGAAAUUCCUUGUCGGGUAAGUUCCGACCCGCACGAAAGGCGUAACGACUUGGGCACUGUCUCAACAAGGGACCCGGUGAAAUUGUAGUACCAGUGAAGAUGCUGGUUACCCGCGGCAGGACGGAAAGACCCCGUGGAGCUUUACUGCAGGCUGACAUUGGAUUUUGGUAUCACAUGUACAGGAUAGGUGGGAGACUGAGAAAUCGGGGCACCAGCUUCGAUGGAGUCAACCUUGGGAUACCACCCUUGUGGUACUGAAGUUCUAACCAGAGGCCGUGAAUCCGGUCUUGGGACACUGUCAGUUGGGCAGUUUGACUGGGGCGGUCGCCUCCUAAAGAGUAACGGAGGCGCUCAAAGGUUCCCUCAGCACGGUCGGAAAUCGUGCGAAGAGUGUAAAGGCAGAAGGGAGCUUGACUGCGAGACAAACAAGUCGAGCAGGAACGAAAGUUGGACUUAGUGAUCCGGUGGUACCGAGUGGAAGGGCCAUCGCUCAACGGAUAAAAGCUACCCCGGGGAUAACAGGCUUAUCUCCCCCAAGAGUCCACAUCGACGGGGAGGUUUGGCACCUCGAUGUCGGCUCGUCUCAUCCUGGGGCUGAAGUAGGUCCCAAGGGUUGGGCUGUUCGCCCAUUAAAGAGGCACGCGAGCUGGGUUCAGAACGUCGUGAGACAGUUCGGUCCCUAUCCGCCGUGGGCGUAGGAAAUUUGAGAGGAGCUGUCCCUAGUACGAGAGGACCGGGAUGGACAGACCGCUGGUGCACCAGUUGUUCCGCCAGGGGCACAGCUGGGUAGCCAAGUCUGGAAGGGAUAAGCGCUGAAGGCAUCUAAGCGCGAAGCCCCCCUCAAGAUAAGAUUUCCCAUCCGCAAGGAGUAAGACCCCAGAAAGACUAUCUGGUAGAUAGGCCUGAGGUGUAAGGGCAGUAAUGCCUUUAGCUGACAGGUACUAAUAGGUCGAGGGCUUGACCAGAA
rnacentral:rRNA from 1 species